rnacentral:lncRNA from 1 species
GGCAAGGUGUGCAAGCCCCGUGUGAGGUUGUGCAAGGUGUGCAGGCCUCCUGCAAAAUGUGCAAGGCUGUGCAACCCCCAUGCGAGGUGUGUGAAGUGUGCAUGCCCUGUGCAAGGUUGUGCAAGGCAUGCAAGCCCCGUGCAAGCUGUGCGAGCCCCGCAUGAGGUUGUGCAAGGUGUGCAAGGCGUGCGAGCCCUGCGCAAGCCCCAUGCAAAGUGUGCAAGGCCGUGUGAGGCUGUGCAGCCCCUGUGCAAGGCGUGUGAAGUGUGCAAGCCCCGUGCAAGCUGUGCGAGCCCUGUGUGAGGUUGUGCAAGGUGUGCAAGGCGUGCGAGCCCCAUGCAAGCUGUGCAAGCCCCGUGUGAGGUUGUGCAAGGCGUGCAAGGUGUGCAAGCCCCGUGCAAGCUGUGCAAGCCCCGCGUGA